rnacentral:rRNA from 1 species
UGACUGAGUGGCGGACGGGUGAGUAACGCGUGGGCAACCUGCCCCAUACAGGGGGAGUAACAGCCGGAAACGGCUGCUAAUACCGCAUAAACCAGGGAGGCGCAUGCCUUUGUGGGAAAGCUCCGGCGGUAUGGGAGGGGCCCGCGUCUGAUUAGCUUGUUGGCGGGGCAGCGGCCCACCAAGGCGACGAUCAGUAGCCGGCCUGAGAGGGCGGACGGCCACAUUGGGACUGAGACACGGCCCAAACUCCUACGGAAGGCAGCAG